AGAGAAUGGUUUACGGAAUCGAAUGCCUUACUGAAGUCAGUGUAAAUAACAUCCGUCUGCAAGUUACUUUGGAAGCCUUUAAUUACAAAGGAGGUGAACUCUAAAAGAUUAGUGGUUGUUGAUCGUCGCCGUAUAAAUCCGUGCUGAGCUGGAGAUAUAAGUGAUUUGCAGAGAUGAUGCAAGUGCGGAGUUAAAAGUUUCUCGAACAUUUUAGGAAUAGCGGAUAACUUAGAUAUACCUCUAUAGUUUUUAGCGUCAGACUUGCUACCUUUCUUAUGGAGAGGAAUUAUAAAGGAUUCCUUCCAGAUGGGGGGAAAGCUAGAAGAAUGGAUAGAUAGAGUGAAUAGUUUAAGCAAAGGUCCGCAGAGAGACUCGGCACAGUACCUGAGUACACAGCCGGGAACUCCGUCAGGGCCCGGUGAGAAUACCGGCUUAACUAAUUGAAGUUCAUGAAGUAAGGAGCCUUCAUUUAACAAAGGGCAGAAAAUGCCAUUCGACCUUGGUAAACUAUAUGGAUACAUAUGACCUGGGUAGCUUUCCUGGGAAUAGGUGGUUUGAAAAAAUUGUGCAAAAAGAUCGGCGAUUGCCUGAUCAUUG
rnacentral:lncRNA from 1 species